CGCGUAGGCGGCCUCUUAAGUCGAACGUGAAAUCCCCGGGCUCAACCCGGGAACUGCGUCCGAGACUGAGAGGCUCGAAUCCGGGAGAGGGAUGUGGAAUUCCAGGUGUAGCGGUGAAAUGCGUAGAUAUCUGGAGGAACACCGGUGGCGAAGGCGGCAUCCUGGACCGGUAUUGACGCUGAGGCGCGAAAGCCAGGGGAGCAAACGG
rnacentral:rRNA from 1 species